CCGGGGGUAGAGCACUGUUUCGGCUAGGGGGCCAUCCCGGCUUACCAACCCGAUGCAAACUGCGAAUACCGGAGAAUGUUAUCACGGGAGACACACGGCGGGUGCUAACGUCCGUCGUGAAGAGGGAAACAACCCAGACCGCCAGCUAAGGUCCCAAAGUCAUGGUUAAGUGGGAAACGAUGUGGGAAGGCCCAGACAGCCAGGAUGUUGGCUUAGAAGCAGCCAUCAUUUAAAGAAAGCGUAAUAGCUCACUGGUCGAGUCGGCCUGCGCGGAAGAUGUAACGGGGCUAAACCAU
rnacentral:rRNA from 1 species